UACGUAGGGGGCUAGCGUUGUCCGGAUUUAUUGGGCGUAAAGGGCGCGUAGGCGGCCACCGCAAGUCGACUGUGAAAUCUCCGGCUUAACCCGGAAAGGUCAGCCGAUACUGCGGGCUAGAGUGCAGAAGGGGCAACUGGAAUUCUCGGUGUAGCGGUGAAAUGCGCAGAUAUCAGGAGGAACACCGGUGGCGAAGGCGGGUCUCUGGGCCGAUACUGACGCUGAGGAGCGAAAGCGUGGGGAGCGAACAGG
rnacentral:rRNA from 1 species